rnacentral:lncRNA from 1 species
UUAAAAAUGACAAUCAAUAUAUUUCAAAUCAAAUAUUAAAAUAUUUGCUCACAUAUCUACGCACCACCCUUACAAUUUUAAUAUUCAUUCCCAUAUCAAUUAAUGUAUACAUUUUUAGGUCCUAUUUUCUAUAUUUUAAUUAAAUAAAUCAUGUUUUAAUUGUAAUGUGUUUUCUUUUUAGCAUUUUACUGAAACAUGGACGACUUUUUAAUGUUAAUAUUAGCC